rnacentral:misc_RNA from 1 species
GAUGAAGAACGUAGCGAAAUGCGAUACUUGGUGUGAAUUGCAGAAUCCCGUGAACCAUCGAGUCUUUGAACGCAAGUUGCGCCCGAAGCCAUUAGGCCGAGGGCACGCCUGCCUGGGCGUCACACGUCGUUGCCCCCCCAUCUACUCCUUCGGGAUUGCGGGGGGCGGAUGAUGGCCUCCCGUGCGCCUCGUCGCGCGGUUGGCAUAAAUACCAAGUCCUCGGCGACGCACGCCACGACAAUCGGUGGUUGCGAAACCUCGGUUGCCCGUCGUGUGCGGUCGGCGCGGAUCGAGGGCUCGAAAAAAUUGCCGGGCUCCGGCUCGGCUUUCAACGCGACCCCAGGUCAGGCGGGGUUACCCGCUGAAUUUAAGCAUAUCAAUAAGCGGAGGA